UGGAUCUACCACUUGUUUGGAAAAUUUCUCUACCAAGCAAUAAAUUACCUGCUGUGCUUUUGUUGUAGUGUAGAAGUUUUUGAGUUCUCCAAAUCUAAACAAGAUUUUGUCCCAUUUUCCCAUGAAGCUACAUUGUUGCUUAUUCACUUUAGUGGCAAGUAUUAUUGUGCCAGCUGCUUUUGUUUUGGAAGAUGUGGACUUCGACCAAAUGGUUUCACUGGAAGCAAAUCGUAGUUCUUACAAUGCAUCCUUUCCCUCAAGCUUUGAACUCUCAGCAAGUUCCCACUCGGAUGAUGAUGUCAUCAUAGCCAAAGAGGGAACUAGCGUUUCAAUUGAGUGUCUUCUCACAGCCAGUCACUAUGAAGAUGUCCAUUGGCACAAUUCAAAAGGACAGCAACUGGAUGGCAGAAGCAGAGGAUUGAGAUAAGUUUGGAUGAUGAUGAAAAUGGACAAAAUCCAGAGUGCUUACUAAUUUAUGUGCCACUAAAAUAAUCCAGAACCAUAGAAUCUUGGGGAUGAAAGAGAUUUUGAAGAUUGGGCACUCAAGUAAUGCUUAACAAGCAGUCCGCUAACCUCCCCUGGGACACCACCUCUAGUCAUUGGAAUGCAUCCCCACACUGCAGGUGGAAAGUGGUUGGUUUCUGAUAACUUCCUAAACAUCACCAAUGUAGCUUUUGAUGACCGUGGGCUCUAUACCUGUUUCGUC
rnacentral:sRNA from 1 species